AACGAACGCUGGCGGCAGGCUUAACACAUGCAAGUCGAACGGUUGUAGCAAUACAGCAGUGGCGCACGGGUGAGUAACGCGUGGAUAUCUGCCUUUUGGUUCGGAAUAACUCCGGGAAACUGGAGCUAAUACCGGAUGGUUCCUACGGGAUAAAGAUUUAUCGCCAAAAGAUGAGUCCGCGUACGAUUAGCUAGUUGGUGGGGUAAUGGCCCACCAAGGCGACGAUCGUUAGCUGGUCUGAGAGGACGAUCAGCCACACUGGGACUGAGACACGGCCCAGACUCCUACGGGAGGCAGCAGUGGGGAAUAUUGGACAAUGGGGGCAACCCUGAUCCAGCCAUGCCGCGUGAGUGAUGAAGGCCUUCGGGUUGUAAAGCUCUUUUGGCGGGGACGAUGAUGACGGUACCCGCAGAAUAAGCCCCGGCUAACUUCGUGCCAGCCGCCGCCGCGG
rnacentral:rRNA from 1 species